GGUACAGGUGUAAUCCCACAGGUGUAAUCCCACAGGUGUAAUCCCACUGGACUCUAGGGGACGUCCUGUUACAGUACAGACUUGGUACAGGUGUAAUCCCACUGGACUCUAGGGGACGUCCUGUUACAGUACAGACUUGGUACAGGUGUAAUCCCACUAGACUCUAGGGGACGUCCUGUUACAGUACAGACUUGGUACAGGUGUAAUCCCACAGGUGUAAUCCCACUGGACUCUAGGGGACGUCCU